rnacentral:tRNA from 1 species
GCAUUCUUAGCUCAGUGGUAGAGCGCGUGGCUUUUAACCACGUGGUCGUGGGUUCGAUCCCCAUAGACGGUG